GCCGAAGUGGUGAAAUUGGUAUACACGCACGGUUCAGAGCCGUGUGACCGUGAGGUCAUGGAGGUUCAAAUCCUCUCUUCGGCACCA
rnacentral:tRNA from 1 species